rnacentral:rRNA from 1 species
AGUGAACGCUGGCGGUAGGCCUAACACAUGCAAGUCGAACGGCAGCACAGUAAGAGCUUGCCCUUACGGUUGGCGAGUGGCGGACGGGUGAGGAAUACAUCGGCAUCUACUUUUUCGUGGGUGAUAACGUAGGGAAACUUACGCUAAUACCGCAUACGACCUACGGGUGAAAGCAGGAGAUCUUCGGACCUUUCCCGAUUGUUUGAGCUGAUGUCGGAUUAGCUAGUUGGCGGGGUAAGGGCCCACCAAGCCAACGAUCCGUAGCUGGUCUGAGAGGAUGAUCAGCCACACUGGAACUGAGACACGGUCCAGACUCCUACGGGAGGCAGCAGUGGGGAAUAUUGGACAAUGGGCGCAAGCCUGAUCCAGCCAUACCGCGUGGGUGAAGAAGGCCUUCGGGUUGUAAAGCCCUUUUGUUGGGAAAGAAAAGCGGCAGGUUAAUACCCCGCUGUUCUGACGGUACCCAAAGAAUAAGCACCGGCUAACUUCGUG